rnacentral:rRNA from 1 species
UACGUAGGGUGCAAGCGUUAAUCGGAAUUACUGGGCGUAAAGCGUGCGCAGGCGGUUAUGUAAGACAGAUGUGAAAUGCCCGGGCUUAACCUGGGAACUGCAUUUGUGACUGCAUGGCUAGAGUGUGUCAGAGGGGGGUAGAAUUCCACGUGUAGCAGUGAAAUGCGUAGAUAUGCGGAGGAACACCGAUGGCGAAGGCAAUCCCCUGGACCUGUACUGACGCUCAUGC